AUGCUUUUCCUAAAGAUUUAGCCAUGCAUGCCUAAGACUAUGAGGAAGCAAUUCUCUCUGAAUCUGCGAACGGCUCCGCAAACCAGUUGUAAACCAUAGCAGUGUUCCGCCCGGCUUCAGCAAUGGGGUCGGGCAUUAUAUGGAUAACCGUGGUAAUUCUGAGGCUAAUACAUGACACACUAACCCUGGCGGGCUGGGGCAACCCGGCUUGCUGGGGGACGUGCGAAAUCGGCAAUGCUAUAACGAACAAUCGGGAAUGAGCG
rnacentral:rRNA from 1 species